AAUAGAUACCCGGGUAGUCCACGCCGUAAACGAUGAGUGCUAAGUGUUAGAGGGUUUCCGCCCUUUAGUGCUGCAGCUAACGCAUUAAGCACUCCGCCUGGGGAGUACGGUCGCAAGACUGAAACUCAAAGGAAUUGACGGGGGCCCGCACAAGCGGUGGAGCAUGUGGUUUAAUUCGAAGCAACGCGAAGAACCUUACCAGGUCUUGACAUCCUCUGACAACUCUAGAGAUAGAGCGUUCCCCUUCGGGGGACAGAGUGACAGGUGGUGCAUGGUUGUCGUCAGCUCGUGUCGUGAGAUGUUGGGUUAAGUCCCGCAACGAGCGCAACCCUUGAUCUUAGUUGCCAGCAUUCAGUUGGGCACUCUAAGGUGACUGCCGGUGACAAACCGGAGGAAGGUGGGGAUGACGUCAAAUCAUCAUGCCCCUUAUGACCUGGGCUACACACGUGCUACAAUGGAUGGUACAAAGGGCUGCAAGACCGCGAGGUCAAGCCAAUCCCAUAAAAACCAUUCUCAGUUCGGAUUGU
rnacentral:rRNA from 1 species